AUUGAACGCUGGCGGCAUGCCUUACACAUGCAAGUCGAACGGCAGCACGGGAGCAAUCCUGGUGGCGAGUGGCGAACGGGUGAGUAAUAUAUCGGAACGUGCCCAGUCGUGGGGGAUAACGCAGCGAAAGCUGUGCUAAUACCGCAUACGAUCUACGGAUGAAAGCGAGGGAUCGCAAGACCUCGCGCGAUUGGAGCGGCCGAUAUCAGAUUAGCUAGUUGGUGAGGUAAAGGCUCACCAAGGCGACGAUCUGUAGCUGGUCUGAGAGGACGACCAGCCACACUGGAACUGAGACACGGUCCAGACUCCUACGGGAGGCAGCAGUGGGGAAUUUUGGACAAUGGGCGAAAGCCUGAUCCAGCAAUGCCGCGUACAGGAUGAAGGCCUUCGGGUUGUAAACUGCUUUUGUACGGAACGAAACGGUGAGCUCUAAUACAGUUUGCUAAUGACGGUACCGUAAGAAUAAGCACCGGCUAACUACGUGCCAGCCGCCGCCGUAA
rnacentral:rRNA from 1 species